CUCUCUCUCUCUCUCUCUCUCUCUCUCUCUCUGUGUGUGUGUGUGUGAGAGAGAGAGAGAGAGAGAGAGAGAGAGAG